UCGAGGGAGACCCGCAAGGGGGACACCGGCGAACGGGGUAGGACAGCGUCGGUAACGUACCCUCAGGACGGGGAUAGUGCCGGGAAACUGGCGGUAAUACCCGAUAACAUUUCCCUUUAUUAACAGGGGAAAUCAAAGGUGAGAUUCCACCUGGGGAGCGGCUGACGCGAUAUUAGCUAGUUGGUAGGGUAACGGCCUACCAAGGCGAUGAUGUCUAGGGGGUGUGAGAGCAUGGCCCCCACCACUGGCACUGAUACACUGGCCAGACACCUACGGGUGGCUGCAGUCGAGAAUCUCCGGCAAUGGGCGAAAGCCCGACCGAGCGACGCCGCGUGCGGGAUGAAGGUCUUCAGAUUGUAAACCGCUGUCGGGGGGGAUGAAAUGUACUGGGGUUAUCCCCGGUAUUUGACAGAGCCCCAGAGGAAGCACGGGCUAAGUUCGUGCCAACAGCCGCGGUAAUACGAACUGUGCGAACGUUAUUCGGAAUCACUGGGCUUAAAGGGUGCGUAGGCGGCAUUCCCAGUCAGGUGUGAAAGCCUCCAGCUCAACUGGAGAACUGCGCUUGAUACUACAAUGCUUGAUUGAGGUAGGGGUGUGUGGAACCUCUGGUGGAGCGGUGAAAUGUGUAGAUAUCAGAGGGAACGCCUGUGGCGAAAGCGACACACUGGGCCUUGUCUGACACUGAGGCACGAAAGCUAGGGUAGUGAACGGGAUUAGAUACCCCGGUAAUCCUAGCCGUAAACUAUGAACACUCGAGGGGAGGGGCUUCGGUCUUUCCCCUCUUAGCGAAAGCGUUAAGUGUUCCGCCUGGGGAGUAUGGCCGCAAGGCUGAAACUCAAAGGAAUUGACGGGGGCUCACACAAGCGGUGGAGCAUGUGGCUUAAUUCGAGGCAACGCGAAGAACCUUAUCCUGGACUUGACAUGCAGGGAUCAACUCGGUGAAAGCCGAGCCACACCUUCGGGCGGAACCUGCACAGGUG
rnacentral:rRNA from 1 species